GUUUUCCCUCAGCGGUUCCGAUCCUCAUUUCUAUUCAAUGUUUACCUCUUCAGGAUUUAAGCCGAUAUUUACGGCACAAUGUAUGGUUUAGGCACCUCAUUAAAAACGACACCUCCUUUAGAAAGACACCUAAUUAAAAACACACUUAAUUAAAAUACACUUAAUUAAAAAUACAACAGCCGCAUCGCGCCUGCGUGGUGAGGCGCAGAGCGCGUCUAUAAAUAAUGUGUAGGAACCAUAAGGGGAGAAGUAUGGAGAAGCAGAAGAUAAGACGUGGAGGUUGGUUAACUCUGAGUUAAGUUAAGAAUCAGGAGGUCACCUUCGCUUUUGUUCAUGUCUGAACAACAUUCUGCCUUUUGUGGGUUUUUUCCAUCGGCAUUAAAAGUUAUGACACAUAAUAAUAUAACAUAUUGAUAUUUUCAUGAUCAUUUAAUAAAAGAUUCCAUGUCAGCAAUGUCUGGAAUUGUGACGAAUUCAAACAUUUAUGAUUCUAAUUGGAUGGAUGGGUUUGUGCUCGGGUUACUGGGAGGCUGUGUCCGUGUGUAGGACUUCACCAUCUUCAUCAUCAUCCUCAUCAUCAUCAUCAUCAUCAUCAUCAUCAUCAUCAUCAUCAUCACCAUCCUCAGAUGAAAUAAGAGGGCCUCCAAGCUACACGCCACAGGGUUUCCUAGCUACCCACGACAUGGUCUCCUAGGAACACUUCAGGGUCGCCUAGAUACAGAACAGUGUCUCCUAGCAGCACACUACAGGGCCUCAUAGCAACACUACAGGGGAUCCAAGCUACAGUACAGGGUCUCCUAGCAACACUCCAGAGUCUCCUAGCAACACACUACAGGGUCUCCUAGCAACACACUCCAGGGUCUCCCAACAACACUACAGGGUCUCCUAGCAACACACUACAGUGUCUCUUCCCUAAUUAUUUUUGUACGGUUCUUUUUUUCCUUUUAAAGUCUGCUUGAGGAGACAUCCAAAACAACCUGAUGAUGUCAUCACAAUAUCCAAUAAAAAUAAUUAUCUGUUAUAUCUCUCAUAUUUACGGCAGAGAAAUGAAUGUCGCAUUAAAAACUUAAAACCACAA
ensembl:lncRNA